AACCUACGGGACGCAGCAGUAGGGAAUAUUGCUCAAUGGGGGAAACCCUGAAGCAGCAACGCCGCGUGGAGGAUGAAGGUUUUCGGAUUGUAAACUCCUUUUGUUAGAGAAGAUAAUGACGGUAUCUAACGAAUAAGCACCGGCUAACUCCGUGCCAGCAGCCGCGGUAAUACGGAGGGUGCAAGCGUUACUCGGAAUCACUGGGCGUAAAGAGCGCGUAGGCGGGAUAGCAAGUCAGAUGUGAAAUCCUAUGGCUUAACCAUGGAACUGCUUUGGAAACUGUGCAGCUAGAGUGCAGGAGAGGG
rnacentral:rRNA from 1 species